rnacentral:rRNA from 1 species
AAGACCUCGCGCUAUUGGAGCGGCCGAMGUCCGAUUAGCUAGUUGGUGGGGMAAUGGCUCACCAAGGCUACGAUCGGUAGCUGGUCUGAGAGGAUGAUCAGCCACACUGGGACUGAGACACGGCCCAYACUCCUACGGGAGGCAGCAGUGGGGAAUUUUGGACAAUGGGCGAAAGCCUGAUCCAGCCAUGCCGCGUGAGUGAAYAAGGCCUUCGGGUUGUAAAGCUCUUUCGGCCGGAACGAAAUCGACCAAGCCAAUACCUUGGUCGGAUGACGGUACCGGAAGAAGAAGCACCGGCUAACUACGUGCCAGCAGCCGCGGWAAUACGUAGGGUGCGGGCGUUAAUCGGAAUUACUGGGCGUAAAGCGUGCGCAGGCGGCUCCCUAAGUCAGAUGUGAAAUCCCCGGGCUUAACCUGGGAACU